UACAGAGGUCUCAAGCGUUGUUCGGAUUCAUUGGGCGUAAAGGGUGCGUAGGCGGCGCGGUAAGUCGGGUGUGAAAUCUCGGAGCUUAACUCCGAAACUGCAUUCGAUACUGCCGUGCUUGAGGACUGGAGAGGAGACUGGAAUUUACGGUGUAGCGGUGAAAUGCGUAGAUAUCGGGAGGAACACCAAUGGCGAAGGCAGCUUGCUGGGACGGUACUGACGCUGAGGCGCGAAAGCGUGGGGAGCAAACAGG
rnacentral:rRNA from 1 species